rnacentral:tRNA from 1 species
GCCCCAGUAGCUCAGGGGAUAGAGCAACGGUUUCCUAAACCGCAGGUCGCAGGUUCGAUUCCUGCCUGGGGCA